UCUAAGAACCUCAAGCUCCCCAAAAAUAUUCAACGACCGGUUCAGAUGGCAGGGCUGUUCCGGAGUGUGACGUCCAGCAGUUGAAAUAACUGGAGGAAAGAACCUGUAAAGAAACUUUGUAGAAGGUUCUCUCAUUGGCUUACAAAAGGGAGAUUAGAAGACUUGCUUUUUCAACCUUCCCACAUCUAAAGAUGCUGAAAAAGAUGAUACUGACAUCAAUAUCAAAGCAUUCUCUGACUCAGACUGAAUGCUUCUUGAGACCAAGGAUCAAGUGUUCACUGCCAUUUGCCCAGCACCUGGCACAAUGCCUGACACUUAGUAAGCACUCAUUUUACAUUUCAUAAAUGAAGAGUGUGUGGGAGGGAAGGGUAAACAUAGAAAAAUAUCUGAACACAUAAAUACCUAAAUGUUAAAGGUGAUUGCCUAGGAUGGUCAAAUUAUGAUUACUCUGUAUGUUUUUCUUCAUACUUUGUGCUAUUUACUGAAUUUUUUAAAAUGAUAACAUUAAUUUUAUAAUCAUAAGGAAAAUUAAAACCAUUUUAGGAAAGAAGCAAGGUACUAGGAACUCAGAGGUCCAUUCAGGUCCCAACUGAACCUUCUCUGCCAGGGUAGAUUAAGUGGGUUUGGGGCUGCCUGAGUAGCUCAGUUGGUUAGGCAUCCAACUGUUGGUUUCGGCUCAGGUCAUGAUCUCACUGUUCGUGGGCUUGAGUUCCAC